rnacentral:lncRNA from 1 species
GCGGUGGUGUGCGCUAAUAGCUUUUCAAUCGGUGACAUCACUCGCUCUGAGACCUGAAGUAGGGUUUCCCCUUGCGUUGCAAGGGCUGCAGCUUUUGUGGCGCGAUGGGUAACAAUGCUUCGUGGGCGUCAGUUGUUGAUGUGUGCAAGGGUCCCUGGUUCAAGCCCAGGUUGGGGCGAAGAGAGGGACGGAACCUACACUGUUACAAAGGCAUAACAUGCACAUAGGUUAGGCUACUAUGGUGAGCGAGCGUUGAGCCUUUUCAUUUUCAAUAUGUAUUGAUUACCCAUUUAUUUGUCUCUGCCUGCAAAUCGUCCUCCUAAAAGGUAGACUAUACCCUUUUGGCCUAGCCAAAACGUUGCAUCAUCAUUCUUGCUGCUUCCAGUUCAGUAGCCAUACCUGUGAGAUCAGGUGCUCGUGUGGUGUCUAUUAAAUAGAGUGGGCUAUAGCCUAUGCAUGGGCAGAGAAGCAUGAGGCUGUUAUCUUUCCAAGGAAAUGGACUUCCUAAAUAGGCCUAUGGUUAGGCUAUAGUUUACUACAUUACCUAGAAAUAGGGCUAAAUAUUGAUCACCCAUAUUUCUCCUUUUGAAAAUCUUCCCACUCCUGAAAGGUAGGCUAUAAAAAUAGCUGAAGAUGAAGUGCAAGUCUCUCCAACUCUGCUCUCUUCAAACUACAUCUAGCAUAGUGGCUGAUAUAACCCAGUAAUACAAUAUAAAGGCCAUGUGAGAAUCUCUGGUAAUUUAACCUAUUUCUGAAGUUAUUUUUGUGCAUUUGAUAUUGCCUAUAGGGUGCAAAAUAGCGGACACCAUGGCUGGUAGGCGAGCUGCAUCACAUACACCUAAAAUAACAUUGCGGGACUGUGGUUGGUUUGGACCAGUUCUUGAGAUAGUGGACAGGACUGCAGUUGGUUUGGACCAGUUCUUGAGGUAGUGGGUAGGACUGCGAUUGGUUUGGACCAGUUCUUGAGGUAGUGGGUGGGACUGCGGUUGGUUUGGACCAGUUCUUGAGGUAGUGGGCAGGACUGCGGUUGGACCAGUUCUUGAGGUAGUGGGUGGGACUGCGGUUGGACCAGUUCUUGAGGUUGUGGGUGGGACUGCGGUUGGACCAGUUCUUGAGGUAGUGGGUAGGACUGCGGUUGGGUUGGGCCAGUUCUUGAGGUAGUGGGUAGGCCUGUGGUUGGACCAGGUCUUGAGGUAGUGGGUGGGAGUGCGGUUGGGUUGGACCAGUUCUUGAGGUAGUGGGUGGGACUGCGGUUGGGUUGGACUAGUUCUUAAGGUAGUGGGUGGGACUGCGGUUGGACCAGUUCUUGAGGUAGUGGGUGGGACUGCGGUUGGACCAGUUCUUGAGGUAGUGGGUGGGACUGCGGUUGGACCAGUUCUUGAGGUAGUGGGUGGGACUGCGGUUGGACCAGUUCUUGAGGUAGUGGGUAGGACUGCAGUUGGUUUGGACCAGUUCUUGAGGUAGUGUGUAGGACUGCAGUUGGUUUGGACCAGUUCUUGAGGUAGUGGGUAGGACUGCGGUUGGACCAGUUCUUGAGGUAGUCGGUGGGACUGCGGUUGGACCAGGUCUUGAGGUAGUGGGUAGGACUGCAGUUGGUUUGGACCAGUUCUUGUGGUAGUGGGUGGGACUGCGGUUGCGUCCCACCUACUCAACAGCCAGUUGAAUCCUGUGGCGCUUUAUUCAAAUCCUUAGAUAUGCUAUUACUUCAAUUUUUCAAAAAUAUGACUAUUUUACACCAUUUUAAAGAUAAGACUCUCGUUAAUC